rnacentral:rRNA from 1 species
AAUGCAGUCGAACGAUUAACUUUCCUUCGGGAAAGAUAUAAAGUGGCGCACGCCCCNUNNAANGNCGGUAGGUAAUGUGCCUUUGGGUGGGGAAUAACCCNUGGAAACUUAAGCUAAUACCGCACAAUGCAGCGGCUUCUUCGGAAGACAGUUGNUAAAGAUUUAUCGCCUAUAGAGNAGCCUGCGGCANAUUAGCUAGUUGGUAAGGUAAUGGCUUNCCAAGGCUACGAUCUGNAACCGACCUGAGAGGGUGGUCGGUCACACUGACACNGANUAACGGGUCAGANUCCUACGGGAGGCAGCAGCCUNGAAUUUU